rnacentral:pre_miRNA from 1 species
AGCUAUUUAAAUUCGUGCAGAGAUUUCGUCAGACACCAACUCAUUAGGACUGAUCAGACUUCCAAGAUAAAUGAAGUU